CCCAACUAUCGAACCAUCAACUACUGACCGGUGAUAAUGAGAGUACCUCACCGGAGACACCCAAAAACACUUCAUUGUGUCAAAGUGGUGUAGAGAACGUCAAUGGCUGGAAAUGGAGAAGAGGGGAAAGCCUUGGCUAGGAGCAUUGGUGGUGGUGUCUUUGUUGUUUCAAAAUCUUAGGGUUUCGUUGGUCUCUCAAGAUUGAAGUUUGGCUUUGUUCCAAUUUCAAAGAGAAAGAGAGUGGUGAGAGAUAUGAUUGGGCUUUGGUGAAUUGGGAUAAUGGGAGCUUCAUCUCUGUUUGUGGUUUGAAGUGGAGUGCUCCAAUUGGAAAGCAGCGAUUUUUCCUGCUUUGAAUUGUUCCCCUUUGCAGUGAUUGCAGUGAGUGCAGUGAGGACCGUACGUCCACUCCACCUCCUUAUAUUUUGCA